UACGAAGGGGGCUAGCGUUGCUCGGAAUCACUGGGCGUAAAGGGUGCGUAGGCGGGUCUUAAGUCAGGGGUGAAAUCCUGGAGCUCAACUCCAGAACUGCCUUUGAUACUGAAGAUCUUGAGUUCGGGAGAGGUGAGUGGAACUGCGAGUGUAGAGGUGAAAUUCGUAGAUAUUCGCAAGAACACCAGUGGCGAAGGCGGCUCACUGGCCCGAUACUGACGCUGCAGCGCGAAAGCGUGGGGAUCAAACAGGG
rnacentral:rRNA from 1 species